CAGCUUGUGCUUUGGUCAAAUCCAAGUACAUUUUCUGCUCGACCUGUUCUUCUUCUUAGAGUCUCUAUCUCACGUUGUUUCGGUUCUUGGUUCUAGAUGGCUGCCCCCGGACACGUGUUGUACGGCGCUGACAGUGUUUCCUACUCUAUGUGCCUACACUUUGAGGGUUUUCCUGCUAUUUUGUGGGAUACCUUAAGGUGGUUUGGGUACUAGUCCCCGCCUAUGUACGUGGGACGGAUGUACCAGGAGCACGGAGUGCAGAGAUGCAAUGUUCAGGUGGUUGUA
rnacentral:lncRNA from 1 species